rnacentral:rRNA from 1 species
CUAUUUGACCUCAAAUCAGGUAGGACUACCCGCUGAACUUAAGCAUAU